CCGCAGGAUUUCUGCAUCUUGUUGCUUCCUGAAAAAUGCCGCCCUCCAUCCAACCAAUUCCUCAGCGACUAUAAGAGCUGUAGAGCACAUUCGAUGUGUUUCUCUUCUCUCAAACUCCUCCCUACCGCCAGCAAGAGUUGUCUCCUUUUCUUUCUUUCACUCGCUGUUCACAACUGCACCAGCAACCCCCUGCUUGUUUGUGGAAUGGCAUUAGCUCAACAUGCAUGAUCGUACGUGUACCUAGGCAUAUAUGCUGUGGGUCGUUACGGUGGCCGGCCGGCCGGCGGCGGCUUCGCCGGCUUCUUCCCUCACACAUCACGAUCGAGAAGCUGUAGCUUCGGGGAUCGGGAGGUGCUUCGAGGCGUUGACAUUGAGGCCUUCCCGAUGCAUCCUUCGCCGAUAUAAUGCAAACCAGGAAGGCCUGCAGGCGUUGACUUUGAUUCUUCUCAGCUCGAUUAGCAUACAACGCAGGUAAAGCUAAAGAUAUUGAUCAUGAAGUAGCCAAAGAACGCGUACACACAAUGCUGCAGGACAGCUUUGUGCAAGCAGUUCAGUGAAUUAAACAAACAACGACUGGAACAAAAGGAGGUAUACGUACAUCAAAACGCUGGUGGGUAAUAACUUUUUGUACAAGGAAUUAAUCAGUUUCCCUUUUUUUCUAUGGUAAGUAACCUAGAGCAGUAGCAAGUAGAGUCUCUCGAACUGCUAAAGAACUCGCCAGUGUGUUUGACGCCUGCAAAAAAACGAACGCAUCUACUUCCAUGGGGAACAGAGAAUUGCUUGCCUUGGUGUACAAUUUGUUGCAACAUUGGUUGUGCGGAAAAAACCCGACAGAACCAGAUUGUGAUAAAUGGGAAUCGGAGCGGCUCAAAGAAGAAGAAGGGGAUGCUUUGAGAUUGGUGACGACCUUGGUUUUCUGUUGUCGACCUUGGUUUUCUGUAAUGUUCAGUCUAAAUAUGUUGUACUGCUUUAUUUUCUACUGAGCCUCUA